UACGGAGGGUGCGAGCGUUGUCCGGAAUCACUGGGUUUAAAGGGUGCGUAGGUGGCGCGUUAAGUCCGUUGUGAAAUCCCUGGGCUCAACCCAGGAAAUGCUUCGGAUACUGGCGUGCUUGAGGCUAGUAGGGGUCACUGGAACUGACGGUGGAGCGGUGAAAUGCGUAGAUAUCGUCAGGAACGCCAAUGGCGAAGACAGGUGACUGGGCUAGAUCUGACACUGAGGCACGAAAGCGUGGGGAGCGAACGGG
rnacentral:rRNA from 1 species